UAGGAACUUCUUACCAUGCUCG
rnacentral:miRNA from 1 species